GGAUGGAGGAUGGGGAAGGGGGUGUCAGUGAUGCUGUGGUGUAAAGGUGGAAGGGUUUAGGACAAGGUCGCCGGAGACAGUGGUUACUACGACCCUAUUUUUGGAUAUUCGAGACGUAGGAGGCAUGUUCGACGGAAACUGACCAUAGGACAGGAUAGGCGAAGUCAUGACGGUUGAGUGGUGUAAAUCUGGGGCAGUUUGGUUGCCGGGCGUCGCUGUGAGGUGAUUUCCGGCGGCGGCAGUAGGGUGGUAGGCUGGUGGUCAAAGGGCGGUCAUGGGGUGGUCAAUGAGUGUUGUUAGGUCGGAGAAGAACGGUACGAGGAGGGGAGUUUUUGGUCUUGUAUGUGUAUUAGAGACGUUUGGACAUAUGUAUACAAAAUGGGGGGGGGGGCUUCAGUGGCCGUUGGAUGAGAUGGGGAGGGACGGAUGUGAUAAGCCCUUCUAUUUGAAACGGUGUUGUUUGGUUCGUUGGGUGUGGACUGGACCGGGUCAAUGGUUAUUUGGGCUGGGUAAUGUUGUUUGAAAGGAAAGGGAGAAGCGAGUUGGGCCACUCAGGUCUGGCCCAAUUGUGGCUAGCCUGAGUGGCUGUAUAUAUGUAUACAUAUGUAUUUUGCCUUUUUCUUUUUUUAAAAAAAUAAUUACUAACUUUAUUAAAACAAA
rnacentral:lncRNA from 1 species